GUUAUAUGGUCAAGAAGAGAAGCGCAAACGGUGGAUGCCUUGGCAGUAAGAGGCGAAGAAGGACGUGGAAUCCUGCGAAAAGCUAUGGGGAGCUGGAAACGAGCGUUGAGCCAUAGAUGUCCGAAUGGGGGAACCCGGCUGCAGCGAUGCGGUCAUUUGCAUUUGAAUACAUAGGAUGCAAAGGCGAACUCGGGGAACUGAAACAUCUAAGUACCCGAAGGAAAAGAAAUCAA
rnacentral:rRNA from 1 species